GACGAACGCUGGCGGCGUGCUUAACACAUGCAAGUCGAACGGAAAGGCCCCUUUGGGGGUACUCGAGUGGCGCACGGGUGAGUAACACGUGAGUAACCUGCCCUUGACUUCGGGAUAACUUCAGGAAACUGGGGCUAAUACCGGAUAGGAAUCCUUGCUGCAUGGUGGGGGUUGGAAAGCUUCGGCGGUUUUGGAUGGACUCGCGGCUUAUCAGCUUGUUGGUGGGGUAGUGGCUUACCAAGGCUUUGACGGGUAGCCGGCCUGAGAGGGCGACCGGCCACAUUGGGACUGAGAUACGGCCCAGACUCCUACGGGAGGCAGCAGUGGGGAAUAUUGCACAAUGGGCGGAAGCCUGAUGCAGCAACGCCGCGUGCGGGAGGACGGCCUUCGGGUUGUAAACCGCUUUCAGCAGGGGCGAAGCUUGUGGUGACGGUACCUGCAGAAGAAGCACCGGCUAACUACGUG
rnacentral:rRNA from 1 species